GAGAGAGAGACAGAGAGGAACCAUAGUUGGGAGAGCAUCUAUUUGUCCUCCGAGGAAUGCCUGAAAUCUUCGAGGCGAUGGGGACUGUUCUCUGGAUUAUUCUCUGCAUGGAUCAUACUACGGGUUAUUUCACUCUGUCGGUAUCGGUAUGAUUAACGUAAAGUUGCAUUACGGGACUAUGGAGAGGAGGAAGAGCCUGUUUACCUGGCUGGUACUCUUCACGGUGCAGUUCAGCCGGAGUUCACAGCAAGUACUCAGAAUAGGUGGUAUCUUUGAGACUCGUGAGAGUGAGUUGGUGAGUGUAGAGGAGUUGGCCUUUAAGUUUGCAGUGAGCAACAUUAACAGGAACCGGACCUUAAUGCCCAACACCACUCUGACCUACGACAUCCAGAGAAUCAACCUCUUCGACAGCUUCGAGGCCUCCAGGAGAGUGUGUGACCAGUUGGCUCUGGGUGUAUCUGCAGUGUUUGGUCCGUCCCACAGCUCCUCAGUCAGUGCUGUCCAGUCCAUCUGUAACGCCCUGGAGGUACCCCACAUCCAGACGCGCUGGAAACACCCAUCAGUGGACAACAGAGACACGUUUUACAUCAAUCUCUACCCAGAAUACACUGCCAUCUCCAGAGCCAUACUGGACAUAGUGACCUUCUUCAAGUGGAAGAGCCUAACGGUGGUCUACGAGGAUAGCACAGGUCUGAUGCGGAUGCAGGAGUUGAUCAAGGCUCCGUCUAAGUUGAACCUGAAGAUCAGGAUACGGCAGCUUCCACCUGGAGAGAUUGACGCCAGACCUCUUCUGAAGGAGAUGAAGAAAGACAAAGAGUUCUAUAUCUUGUUUGACUGCUCCUACCGGACCUCUGCAGAGAUACUCAAACAGCUCUCGUCGAUGGGAAUGAUGACAGAAUACCAUCAUUUCUUCUUCACUACAUUGGAUCUGUUUGCGUUAGACCUGGAGCCAUACCGCUACAGUGGCGUGAAUAUGACAGGUUUCAGGCUGUUGAAUAUAGACGACCCGUAUGUAGCUUCCACCAUGGAGAAGUGGUCUCUGGAGAGGCUUCAGGCUCCACCUAAACAGGAGAGUGGAUUAAUGGAUGGAGUUAUGACGACGGAGGCAGCGUUGAUGUAUGACGCGGUGUUCAUGGUUGCCGUGGCGUCGCAGCGAGCCACUCAGAUGACUGUCAGCUCCCUGCAGUGUCACCGACACAAACCCUGGCGCUUUGGACCGCGCUUCAUGAACCUCUUCAAAGAGGCCCAGUGGGACGGUCUGACAGGUCAUAUAGUCCUUAAUAAGACAGAUGGUCUGAGGAGAGACUUUGACUUGGACAUCAUCAGUCUGAAGGAAGAUGGCACAGCCAGGGGCUUUGUUGAAGGCUCCAGUCGCCUCACUAAAAGGUGGAGCAAGAUUGCGGUGUGGAACUCCUACACAGGUUUGAACCUUACAGAGACCAGCAGGGAUAAAACCAACAACGUGACUGACUCUAUGGCCAACAGGACUCUGAUCGUUACUACUAUAUUGGAAAACCCUUAUGUGAUGUUUAAGAAGUCAGACAAGGAGCUGUCUGGCAACGACCGGUUUGAGGGUUACUGCCUUGACCUGCUGAAGGAGCUGUCCAACAUCCUGGGGUUCACCUACGAGGUCAAACUGGUGUCUGAUGGGAAGUAUGGUGCACAAAACGAUAAGGGGGAAUGGAACGGCAUGGUCCGAGAGCUCAUCGACCACAUAGCUGACCUCGCUGUAGCCCCUCUGACCAUCACAUAUGUGAGAGAGAAGGUGAUAGACUUCUCUAAGCCCUUCAUGACCUUGGGAAUCAGUAUCCUGUACAGGAAACCCAAUGGCACCAACCCCGGAGUGUUCUCCUUCCUCAACCCACUGUCUCCUGACAUCUGGAUGUAUGUUCUACUGGCCUGCACCGGAGUGAGCUGUGUCCUGUUUGUCAUCGCCAGAUUUACUCCCUAUGAGUGGUACAACCCUCACCCCUGCAACCCCUCGUCAGAGUUGCUAGAGAAUAAUUUCACCUUACUCAAUAGUUUCUGGUUUGGAGUGGGAGCUCUCAUGCAGCAAGGGUCAGAGUUGAUGCCUAAGGCCUACUCCACCCGUAUAGUAGGAGGUAUCUGGUGGUUCUUCACCCUGAUCAUCAUCUCCUCUUACACGGCCAACCUGGCUGCCUUCCUCACCGUGGAGAGGAUGGACGCUCCGAUCGACUCCGCUGACGACCUGGCUAAACAGACCCGUAUAGAAUACGGAUCAGUCAGGGACGGGUCUACCAUGACCUUCUUCAAGAAAUCUAAGAUCUCCACCUAUGAGAAGAUGUGGGCGUUUAUGAGCAGCAGGAAGAACACAGCUCUGGUGAAGAACAACAGAGAGGGGAUCACCAGGGUCCUGACCACAGACUACGCUAUGCUGAUGGAGUCUACCAGCAUAGAGUACAUCAGUCAGAGGAACUGUAACCUCACGCAGAUAGGAGGACUCAUAGACUCCAAGGGCUACGGAGUGGGCACUCCCAUAGGCUCCCCUUACAGAGACAAGGUGACCAUCGCCAUCCUGCAGCUGCAGGAAGAAGGGAAGCUCCACAUGAUGAAGGAGAAAUGGUGGAGAGGGAACGGUUGUCCCGAGGAGGACAACAAAGAAGCCAGCGCGUUGGGCGUGGAGAACAUUGGUGGUAUCUUCAUCGUCCUGGCGGCCGGACUCGUCCUGUCUGUGUUCGUAGCCAUCGGAGAGUUCAUCUACAAGGCCAGGAAGAACUCUGACAUAGAGGAGGCCUUUUGUUUCUUCUACGGGGUUCAGUCCCGUCAGUUCCAGCGUCGUGACAGCGCCUCCUCCUCCUCUGCCACCUCUCUGUCCACUGACCUGGAGAGCGGUCGGCUGCUGGGGGACGAUGACGACAUAGAGUAGCCUCCCCCAGCCCUGCCCAGGCUAGCCUCCGCCACACACACCGCUAGAAGUUUAGUGUGUCUCUUUUAGCUCUGUCAUGGAGGAGCUGGGUAUCUCCCUGCGCUGUCACAAAACCAUCAGGCGAAGGUCACGACCCCGAGGACGAUCUGGAUUGGCCAGCGUCCUCUGUCACCCCAAACGCAUCCCGAGGAAAGAGACCAUGGCGUAGGGACGCCUCGCCUACGCUUUAGUGAACUGAGGAAAACUCUGGUUGUAACAGACUCUUAUUGGACCAAUGGUAGGAUGGAUGGAAGGAUGGUACCCCCCCCCCCUUCUUUUUGUUUGUAUAUAUGGACUGGAUGUUGUUUGUUUCUCUCUCUCUCUUUUGUUUUUUGUGUAUAUACAUAAGAGCAAAUAAGCAUUGAGGAUGUAUUGUUCAUCAACCAGGAAAUGAACAUUGAGGAUGUAUUGUUCAUCAACCAGGAAAUGAACAUUGAGGAUGUAUUGUUCAUCAACCAGGAAAUGAACAUUGAGGAUGUAUUGUUCAUCAACCAGGAAAUGAACAUUGAGGAUGUAUUGUUCAUCAACCAGGAAAUGAACAUUGAGGAUGUAUUGUUCAUCAACCAGGAAAUGAACAUUGAGGAUGUAUUGUUCAUCAACCAGGAAAUGAACAUUGAGGAUGUAUUGUUCAUCAACCAGGAAAUGAGCAUUGAGGAUGCAUUGUUCAUCAACCAGGAAAUGAACAUUGAGGAUGCAUUGUUCAUCAACCAGGAAAUGAACAUUGAGGAGGUAUUGUUCAUCAACCAGGAAAUGAACAUUGAGGAUGUAUUGUUCAUCAACCAGGAAAUGAACAUUGAGGAUGUAUUGUUCAUCAACCAGGAAAUGAACAUUGAGGAUGUAUUGUUCAUCAACCAGGAAAUGAACAUUGAGGAUGUAUUGUUCAUCAACCAGGAAGUAGGAUUGGCGAUACAGUGCUUGGGUGUUUUAUACUUUUUAAAAACACUUGGCUAUAAGUUUUAUAUUUCGAAAGACACUUUUAUACUUUUAAAACCUUUGUUUUAAGUGUUAUUUUGGGACCACUGUGUUAGUGCUGUUCUUAACACCCCGUGUUUGGCAGGAUUUUACCGUCUCCUGGAGCUAACAUUAGCAGGAUUUUACCGUCUCCUGGAGCUAACAUUAGCAGGAUUUUACUGUCUCCUGGAGCUAACAUUAGCAGGAUUUUACCGUCUCCUGGAGCUAACAUUAGCAGGAUUUUACCGUCUCCUGGAGCUAACAUUAGCAGGAUUUUACCGUCUCCUGGAGCUAACAUUAGCAGGAUUUUACCGUCUCCUGGAGCUAACAUUAGCAGGAUUUUACCGUCUCCUGGAGCUAACAUUAGCAGGAUUUUACCGUCUCCUGGAGCUAACAUUAGCAGGAUAACUACGACUAGCUAGGUCACCUGGCUGUCAACAGCAAAGCUUGUCUCACGUCGCCGUUGGCUCUUGUAGCUGCGACCGCUGUUUCUGACCUGAAUAUAAGCGUGUCAGACUCCUCUGUUUUGGAGUCAGAUCCCAGAGAUGGACAGUAAAGACACGAAAUGCCUGAAGAAGAAUUGACUGGUUUAUACAUUUUGUGAAAAGUGUAAACAGCUCUUUUGCUUCAACAGACCAGAUCAUUGAACUACUAGAGAAGAAACAAAGUCCUAAAAGAAUGUUUCACUCUGGCUAAGGAGACUUCCAGACUGCAUGGUGUCUUUGAUGCAACAAUUGUAAAUGACAGAGGGGAUAAUCCAGGAUGCUCUAUGAGAUUGGACUCCUCUGCUAUAGCUACUGAGGAUACUACCUUGGACCACUUUCCCGUAUUAACAAAUCAUUUUACGGCUCUGAGCCUCUGACUUCACCGGGCCCCUCCAAACAAGGUCCUUUUGCCACUCCCUCUCCGUCCUUUCAACUUCACCUCAGCACAAAGUACAAUCUCCUCUAAAUCUGGUCAUGGGUUACUGAGCUUCCCCUGGAGGCUAAACAAGACAGACAUACAGGUUCUCAUUUCCUCAUUACCAACAAUACAUCUCGGAUCGCUUUAGUCGUCUCCUCUGACUACACUACUGGCUUAAAUCCUACUGUUACUCCAUGAAUUUGAAGUUCAUUGACAAUUUUGACAACUUCUGGGAGUGGUCUCAGUUUUACAGGGCGAGCAAGAGUUCUCAGCCAACAUCGAGGAGGCUCUUGUAAAACAUUGACUCAAAUACAGCCUAACCCUGGGCCCCAGGUUGUUCUUCCAUCCCAUUCCCAUUAUUUUACAGCUUUAUCAUCUACUACAGAUAACCAUAUUCCCAAGGGGUAUCGUCUGUAAUAAUGUUGUGACCAUUAAGUUCAUGUAAUCUGUUAGUUCUGUUACUGUUAGCCCAAUUGGGUAGCCCACUGUGGUAAGCUCGUCCAGUGGUAUUAUUUGAAAUACCAUAAAUAUGGAUACCACCGCUGUUUUGAAAUGGCAUAGAGGGCUUGGACUGUUAAAUAUCAAGGUUGAAAUGUUUGAUGUCAAAGAUGGACCUUCUUGAUAUCUGGGACACGAGCCCGGAUGUUUUGGUUCUCACAUAGACUUGGCUAAAUGGCUCGAUUCCGGAUAAGGACAUUGAUACUGCAGAUUACAGCAUCUUCUCCUUGACUUUGUCCACAUUUUUGUUAUGUUACAGCCUGAAUUUAAAAUGGAUUAAAUUUGAGAUUUGUGGUUCACUGAACUACACACAAUAUCCCAUAAUGUCAAAGUGGAAUAAUGUUUAUAUAUUAAUGAAAAGCUGAAAUGUCUUGAGUCAAUAAGUAUUCAACCCCUUUGUUAUGGCAUGCCUAAAUAAGUUCAGGAGUAAAAAUUCUCCACAAUACUAAAAUAAUUGACUGAGUGAAAAGAAGGAAGCCUGUACAGAAUAAAAAUAUUCCAAAACAUGCAUUCUCUGUUUGCAACUGCAAAACAUUUGGCAAAGCAAUUCACUUUUUGUCCUGAAUACAAAGUGUUAUGCUUGGGGCAAAUCCAAUACAACACAGUGAUGAGUACCAAUCUCCAUAUGUUCAAGCAUAGUGGUGGCUGCAUCAUGUUAUGGGUAUGCUUGUCAUCGUUAAGAACUGGGGACUUUUUCAGGAUAAAAAUAGAAACAGAAUGGAGCUAAGCACAGGGAAAAUCCUAGAUGAAAACCUGGUUCAGUCUGCUUUCCACCAGACACUGGAAGAUGAAUUUACCUUUCAGCAGGACAAUAUCCUAAAACACAAGGCCAAAUAUACACUGGAGUUGCUUACCAACAAGACAGUGAAUGUUCCCAAGU